rnacentral:rRNA from 1 species
AGAGUUUGAUCAUGGCUCAGGAUGAACGCUAGCUACAGGCUUAACACAUGCAAGUCGAGGGGAAACGACAUCGAAAGCUUGCUUUUGAUGGGCGUCGACCGGCGCACGGGUGAGUAACGCGUAUCCAACCUGCCCAUCACUUGGGGAUAACCUUGCGAAAGUAAGACUAAUACCCAAUGACGUCUCUAGAAGACAUCUGAAAGAGAUUAAAGAUUUAUCGGUGAUGGAUGGGGAUGCGUCUGAUUGGCUUGUUGGCGGGGUAACGGCCACCAAGGCGACGAUCAGUAGGGGUUCUGAGAGGAAGGUCCCCACAUUGGAACUGAGACACGGUCCAAACUCCGUAACGGGAGGCA